rnacentral:rRNA from 1 species
CCUACGGGAGGCAGCAGUAGGGAAUCUUCCACAAUGGGCGAAAGCCUGAUGGAGCAACGCCGCGUGGGUGAAGAAGGUCUUCUGAUCGUAAAACCCUGUUGUUAGAGAAGAAAGUGCGUGAGAGUAACUGUUCACGUUUCGACGGUAUCUAACCAGAAAGCCCCGGCUAACUACGUGCCAGCAGCCGCGGUAAUACGUAGGUGGCAAGCGUUAUCCGGAUUUAUUGGGCGUAAAGGGAACGCAGGCGGUCUUUUAAAUCUGAUGGUAAAGCCUUCGGCUUAACCGGAGUAGUGCAUUGGAAACUGGGGGACUGGAGUGCAGAAGAGGAGAGUGGAACUCGAUGUGUAGCGGUGAAAUGCGUAGAUAUAUGGAAGAACACCAGUGGCGAAGGCGGCUCUCUGGGCUGUAACUGACGCUGAGGUUCGAAAGCGUGGGUAGCAAACAGGAUUAGAUACCCCUGUAGUC